UUUAGACAUGGCGCCACCAGCAAGAGCAGAAGCAAUACCGCCAGCAAUAGCACCAAACAUAAAUCACCUCACUUAAGUGGCUGGAGACAAAUAAUCUCUUUAAUAACCUGAUUCAGCGAAACCAAUCCGCGGCAUUUAGUAGCGGUAAAGUUAGACCAAACCAUGAAACCAACAUAAACAUUAUUGCCCGGCGUACGGGGAAGGACGUCAAUA
rnacentral:rRNA from 1 species